GAGUUUGAUCAUGGCUCAGGAUGAACGCUAGCGACAGGCUUAACACAUGCAAGUCGAGGGGCAGCGGGGGCGAAGCUUGCUUCGUCUGCCGGCGACCGGCGCACGGGUGAGUAACACGUAUGCAACCUGCCCGCCACAGGGGGAUAAGCGGAAGAAAUUCCGUCUAAUACCGCGUGACGCGGCGUCGGGGCAUCCCGGUGCCGCCAAAGGGAUUACCGGUGGCGGAUGGGCAUGCGGCGCAUUAGCUAGUCGGCGGGGUAACGGCCCACCGAGGCGACGAUGCGUAGGGGUUCUGAGAGGAAGGUCCCCCACACUGGUACUGAGACACGGACCAGACUCCUACGGGAGGCAGCAGUGAGGAAUAUUGGUCAAUGGGCGCGAGCCUGAACCAGCCAAGUCGCGUGAGGGAUGGCGGUCCUACGGAUUGUAAACCUCUUUUGCCGGGGAGCAAGCGUGCGUUCGUGAACGCGCGUCGAGAGUACCCGGAGAAAAAGCAUCGGCUAACUCCGUGCCAGCAGCCGCGGUAAUACGGAGGAUGCGAGCGUUAUCCGGAUUUAUUGGGUUUAAAGGGUGCGUAGGCGGGAUGCCAAGUCAGCGGUAAAAAUGCGGUGCUCAACGCCGUCGAGCCGUUGAAACUGGCGUUCUUGAGUGGGCGAGAAGUAUGCGGAAUGCGUGGUGUAGCGGUGAAAUGCAUAGAUAUCACGCAGAACUCCGAUUGCGAAGGCAGCAUACCGGCGCCCUACUGACGCUGAGGCACGAAAGCGUGGGUAUCGAACAGGAUUAGAUACCCUGGUAGUCCACGCAGUAAACGAUGAAUGCUAACUGUCCGGUGCGAGUGAGCGCUGGGCGGUACAGCGAAAGCGUUAAGCAUUCCACCUGGGGAGUACGCCGGCAACGGUGAAACUCAAAGGAAUUGACGG
rnacentral:rRNA from 1 species